UACGUAGGAUGCAAGCGUUGUCCGGAAUUAUUGGGCGUAAAGAGCUCGUAGGCGGUUUGUUGCGUCGGCUGUGAAAUCCCGAGGCUCAACCUCGGGUCUGCAGUCGAUACGAGCAAACUAGAGUGUUGCAGGGGAGACUGGAAUUCCUGGUGUAGCGGUGAAAUGCGUAGAGACCCGGAGGAACACCAGUGGCGAAGGCGGCUUCCUGGUCUGCGACUGACGCUGUGGCGCGAAAGCUAGGGGAGCGAACAGG
rnacentral:rRNA from 1 species